rnacentral:lncRNA from 1 species
GGCAGUUCUGCGGCGGGCUUGUGGGGGCGGGGCCUGGAGCAAGCGACCGAGCCAUUGGGGCUCUGGGCGGUGGAGGCGGCAGCAGCGGCGGCGGCGGAGCGGGAGAAGGAGCGGGACCCCGAGCACCGGGCCAUCUUCAACCAGGGGCCCUGGGUGAAGUGCUCUGCUGCCCUUGCCUCCAGCCACCACCUUUUUGGCACUAGAACAGUGCUUUUUCUAGUGCACUCAUCAGUGGAUGCUGAAAUCACGACCUGGCCAUUUGGAUGUUCAACUAAUGCUUUAUGCUGCGGAGUCCCUGCAACUCACCACCCCAUGCCGGAACUCACUGGAGCUCAGGCUGACAGCACAGGUGGAAAUGGAGAGAGUAUUUAUGCAGCAAGACAUCCAGCCCUGGCUUCAGAUGCUCCACUCCAGCCCUCUGAGAAGACACUGGAAACUGAGGCAGAAUCAGGUGAUCCACUGCUGAAUGUGCCCAGUGGUCAUGCCUGGUGGGAUCAAGUCUAAAGCUACUAUUUAUACCCUGGCUGGAGUGCAGUGGUGCGAUCUCGACUCACUGCAACCUCCACCUUCCAGAUUCAAGCAAUUCACCUGCCUCAGCCUCCUGAGAAGCUGGGCGUACAGGCAUGCACCGCCACACCCAGGUAAGUUUUGUAUUUUUGGUAGAGACAGGGUUUCACCUUCUUAACCAGCCUGGUCCCAAAUUCCUGACUUCUUGUGAUCCUCCCACCUUGCCUCCCAACAUUCGUACACUUUUUGAAGUCGCUGAUCUGCUUGAAAAGAGGAUAGAAGUUUUAAGUCUUCUCCCCAGGAUGGAGGAGAAAGACCCAAAACUUCAGCACAAUGACAAGGGCUUCAAGUGACUAAGUUCUAUCCAGGUACCCUUGGGUAAGAACCCUUGAAAAGCACCUACUAAGAUGAAAAUGAGCCUGGACAACAUAGUAAGACCCAUCUCCACAAAAAAGAAAAAAAUGGAAGGGCAUGGUGGCACAGGCCUUAGCCCCAGCUACUUGGGAGGCUGAGGCAAGGGGAUUGCUUGGGCCCAGGGGUUCAAGGCUGCAGUGAUUUAGGAUCAUGCCAUUGCAUAGAAGACCUUGUAAAAUAAAGAGGAAAGCGGGGGAGAGAGAAAAGGUGGGGGAAGAGAGGGGGGAAAGGGAAGAAAAGAGGUAGGACGAGGAAAAAAGGGAAUAGAGGGAGGGAGAGAAAGGAAAGAAAAGAAAAAAGGAAGAAAAAAGAAAAGAAAUGAGAAAAAC